rnacentral:rRNA from 1 species
GACGAACGCUGGCGGCGUGCUUAACACAUGCAAGUCGAGCGGAGCGGCGAACGGGUGAGUAACGCGUGAGUAACUGCCCCCCUCUCUGGGAUAACAGUUGGAAACGGCUGCUAAUACCGGAUAGUGGGGGAUGACUCGCGUCCUAUCAGCUUGUUGGUGGGGUAGUGGCCUACCAAGGCGACGCCGGGUAGCCGGCCUGGGAGGGCGACCAGCCACAUGGGGCUGAGGUACGGCCCAGACUCCUACGGGAGGCAGCGGUGGGGAAUAUGACACAGUGAGGGAAAGCCUGAGGCAGCAACGCCGGGGGCGGGAUGACGGCCUUCGGGUUGUAAACCGCUUUCAGCCAUGACGCGGUAGUGGCAGAAGAAGCACCGGCUAACUACGUGCCAGCAGCCGCGGUAAUUC